rnacentral:lncRNA from 1 species
UUAUUCACGAUGUACUGCUCGACAAAAAUCUUCGAGAACUGUUGAAAAUUGGUUAUGUGGCCGUUAGGCAGGCUCACAAACCACUCCAUCGUCGUUCCCUGGAGCGUACUCACGAACAUCUUGCAGUAGACGGCGUCUGACCCUCCCGACAGCAUCAUCUGCGUAUGGAACGUGGUCAGAUGAGCCUCUGGAUCCUCCACGCCGGUAAAGA